AUUUAUUUAGUAUAAAUAGUACAAAAAGUUUCCAACUUUAAGGUCUUAGGAAUAAAUA
rnacentral:tRNA from 1 species